UGAAAUGUGAGUAAGAAGAAAAUGUUGGUUUAUGUUGUUUGGUUGGAUGGAAAACAUUUUCCAUUGGAAAAUGGAUUCCUCAAAGUUGAGGAAAAUGAAUUCUUUGCAAAGGGGUGGAAUUUUGUUUUCCACAAAGAUUGGGAAGAAAAAUAACAUGAGUGUACCAUUUUACCCUUAUGAAAAUUUCUUAAUUACA